rnacentral:rRNA from 1 species
CGAAUGCUGACAUAAGUAACGAUAAAGCGGGUGAAAAGCCCGCUCGCCGGAAGACCAAGGGUUCCUGUCCAACGUUAAUCGGGGCAGGGUGAGUCGACCCCUAAGGCGAGGCCGAAAGGCGUAGUCGAUGGGAAACAGGUUAAUAUUCCUGUACUUGGUGUUACUGCGAAGGGGGGACGGAGAAGGCUAUGUUGGCCGGGCGACGGUUGUCCCGGUUUAAGCGUGUAGGCUGGUUUUCCAGGCAAAUCCGGAAAAUCAAGGCUGAGGCGUGAUGACGAGGCACUACGGUGCUGAAGCAACAAAUGCCCUGCUUCCAGGAAAAGCCUCUAAGCAUCAGGUAACAUCAAAUCGUACCCCAAACCGACACAGGUGGUCAGGUAGAGAAUACCAAGGCGCUUGAGAGAACUCGGGUGAAGGAACUAGGCAAAAUGGUGCCGUAACUUCGGGAGAAGGCACGCUGAUAUGUAGGUGAAGUCCCUCGCGGAUGGAGCUGAAAUCAGUCGAAGAUACCAGCUGGCUGCAACUGUUUAUUAAAAACACAGCACUGUGCAAACACGAAAGUGGACGUAUACGGUGUGACGCCUGCCCGGUGCCGGAAGGUUAAUUGAUGGGGUCAGCGCAAGCGAAGCUCUUGAUCGAAGCCCCGGUAAACGGCGGCCGUAACUAUAACGGUCCUAAGGUAGCGAAAUUCCUUGUCGGGUAAGUUCCGACCUGCACGAAUGGCGUAAUGAUGGCCAGGCUGUCUCCACCCGAGACUCAGUGAAAUUGAACUCGCUGUGAAGAUGCAGUGUACCCGCGGCAAGACGGAAAGACCCCGUGAACCUUUACUAUAGCUUGACACUGAACAUUGAGCCUUGAUGUGUAGGAUAGGUGGGAGGCUUAGAAGUGUGGACGCCAGUCUGCAUGGAGCCGACCUUGAAAUACCACCCUUUAAUGUUUGAUGUUCUAACGUUGACCCGUAAUCCGGGUUGCGGACAGUGUCUGGUGGGUAGUUUGACUGGGGCGGUCUCCUCCUAAAGAGUAACGGAGGAGCACGAAGGUUGGCUAAUCCUGGUCGGACAUCAGGAGGUUAGUGCAAUGGCAUAAGCCAGCUUGACUGCGAGCGUGACGGCGCGAGCAGGUGCGAAAGCAGGUCAUAGUGAUCCGGUGGUUCUGAAUGGAAGGGCCAUCGCUCAACGGAUAAAAGGUACUCCGGGGAUAACAGGCUGAUACCGCCCAAGAGUUCAUAUCGACGGCGGUGUUUGGCACCUCGAUGUCGGCUCAUCACAUCCUGGGGCUGAAGUAGGUCCCAAGGGUAUGGCUGUUCGCCAUUUAAAGUGGUACGCGAGCUGGGUUUAGAACGUCGUGAGACAGUUCGGUCCCUAUCUGCCGUGGGCGCUGGAGAACUGAGGGGGGCUGCUCCUAGUACGAGAGGACCGGAGUGGACGCAUCACUGGUGUUCGGGUUGUCAUGCCAAUGGCACUGCCCGGUAGCUAAAUGCGGAAGAGAUAAGUGCUGAAAGCAUCUAAGCACGAAACUUGCC